rnacentral:rRNA from 1 species
AUUGAACGCUGGCGGCAUGCCUUACACAUGCAAGUCGAGCGGCAGCGCGGGGGCAACCCUGGCGGCGAGCGGCGAACGGGUGAGUAAUACAUCGGAACGUGUCCUGUCGUGGGGGAUAACCAGUCGAAAGAUUGGCUAAUACCGCAUGACCUCGUAAGAGAAAAGCGGGGGAUCGCAAGACCUCGCGCGAUUGGAGCGGCCGAUGUCGGAUUAGCUAGUUGGCGGGGUAAAAGCCCACCAAGGCGACGAUCCGUAGCUGGUUUGAGAGAACGACCAGCCACACUGGGACUGAGACACGGCCCAGACUCCGACGGGAGGCAGCAGUGGGGAAUUUUGGACAAUGGGGGCAACCCUGAUCCAGCCAUGCCGCGUGUGUGAAGAAGGCCUUCGGGUUGUAAAGCACUUUCGGCCGGAACGAAAUCGCGCGGGUGAACAUCCCGCGUGGAUGACGGUACCGGAAGAAGAAGCACCGGCUAACUACGUGCCAGCAGCCGCGGUAA